rnacentral:lncRNA from 1 species
CCCGCUGUAACGCUGUAGUCUAUCAGGUCUCCAACCAUCACCCGCUGUAACGCUGUAGUCUAUCAGGUCUCCAACCAUCACCCGCUGUAACGCUGUAGUCUAUCAGGUCUCCAACCAUCACCCGCUGUAACGCUGUAGUCUAUCAGGUCUCCAACCAUCACCCGCUGUAACGCUGUAGUCUAUCAGGUCUCCAACCAUCACACGCUGUAAUGCUGUAUAGCGUGUCUAUCAGGUAGGGGACAUCACCUGUUUGGGGUGUAAUGCUGUAUAUUCUGUCAGAUAUGGGACGUGUCUCGUUUCUCCUAACGCUGUAAUUCUCUCCUGUCCUGACACGGUCACGCCCUCCCCUAAAUAACCGUUC